rnacentral:rRNA from 1 species
GAUGAACGCUGGCGGCGUGCCUAAUACAUGCAAGUCGAGCGAACAGACGAGGAGCUUGCUCCUCUGACGUUAGCGGCGGACGGGUGAGUAACACGUGGAUAACCUACCUAUAAGACUGGGAUAACUUCGGGAAACCGGAGCUAAUACCGGAUAAUAUAUUGAACCGCAUGGUUCAAUAGUGAAAGACGGUUUUGCUGUCACUUAUAGAUGGAUCCGCGCCGCAUUAGCUAGUUGGUAAGGUAACGGCUUACCAAGGCAACGAUGCGUAGCCGACCUGAGAGGGUGAUCGGCCACACUGGAUCUGAGACACGGUCCAGACUCCUACGGGAGGCAGCAGUAGGGAAUCUUCCGCAAUGGGCGAAAGCCUGACGGAGCAACGCCGCGUGAGUGAUGAAGGUCUUCGGAUCGUAAAACUCUGUUAUUAGGGAAGAACAAAUGUGUAAGUAACUAUGCACGUCUUGACGGUACCUAAUCAGAAAGCCACGGCUAACUACGU